AUGCGAAAGCAGUUGAAGACAAACAGAAAGAAGUCUGGAAACAGAGUUCGAGUAGGUUUGUGCAGUUCGUAAGAGCUCAAUGGCCUCGUCGAGCGGUGGAGAGAGUCGCUAAGGGAUCGUCAGAUACCUUAGUCUCUAUACAGCGCAAGACAUGGGUGAUGGCGGGUUUGUUCUAUGCAAAGUCAUUGGGUUUCCCUCUGGCGGCGCAUACAACACCUGCCUAACCUGAACAGUCUCAUCCUGGGCAUCUAGCGAUCCCAUGGGUGAGCAGCGGAGGAUUUGGUGGAUUACUAGCCAAUGGCAAUCCAAACCAAAGAAACCGACUUGGGGGAAUGCCUCAUUGAAUAGCCGGUGUUUCGACACUGUGAUUCUCUGAGUGUAACCUCCUCUUUGGUUGCCGAUAUUAAACCUGUUCUGUGAAACAUCGGAGCGGUGUUUAGUGGAAAGCAACUAGAGGAACUCAAAGAGUGCUAUGGCAUGGGGGCAGCUGUUGCGAAGGUGUAAAAACCCGAGCUCCGGUUCGCUUGACACAGAAGUUACUUUCUGUAUCUCUAUCAGUCUAUCACCGAAGGACCCGUGGUGUGCUUUGCGCAUUUUCGGGUUGUUCUUUAAGAUAGU